CCUACGGGAGGCAGCAGUGGGGAAUUUUCCGCAAUGGGCGAAAGCCUGACGGAGCAAUACCGCGUGAGGGAGGAAGGCUCUUGGGUCGUAAACCUCUUUUCUCAGGGAAGAACACAAUGACGGUACCUGAGGAAUCAGCAUCGGCUAACUCCGUGCCAGCAGCCGCGGUAAUACGGAGGAUGCAAGCGUUAUCCGGAUUUAUUGGGCGUAAAGCGUCCGUAGGUGGUAAUUCAAGUCUGUCGUUAAAGCGCGAGGCUCAACCUCGUAUAGGCGGUGGAAACUGGAUGACUAGAGUGCGGUAGGGGUAGAGGGAAUUCCCGGUGUAGCGGUGAAAUGCGUAGAGAUCGGGAAGAACACCAGUGGCGAAAGCGCUCUACUGGACCUGCACUGACACUGAGGGACGAAAGCUAGGGGAGCGAAAGGGAUUAGAUACCCCAGUAGUC
rnacentral:rRNA from 1 species